rnacentral:lncRNA from 1 species
AUGAGCAUGCAGACAGACGUAGAGAAGGAGGCGCGGCGGAGGAGAGAAGAGAAGGUGCAGAGGAGGAGAGAGGAGGAAGAGGCAGAGCGGAGGAGAGAAGAGAAGGCGCAGAGGAGGAGAGAGGAGGAGGCACAGCGGAGGAGAGAGGAGGAGAAGGAGGAGGAAGAGGCACAGCGGAGGAGAGAAGAGAAGAUGCAGAGGAGAAGAGAGGAGGAGGCACAGCGGAGGAGAGAGGAAGAGAAGGAGGAGGAAGAGGCAGAGCGGAGGAGAAAAGAGAAGGUGCAGAGGAGGAGAGAGGAGGAGGCACAGCGGAGGAGAGAGGAAGAGAAGGAGGAGGAAGAGGCAGAGCGGAGGAGAGAAGAGAAGGUGCAGAGGAGGAGAGAGGAGGAGGAGGAGGAAGAGGCGCGGCAGAGGAGAGAAGAGAAGAUGCAGCGGAGGAGAGAGGAGGAGGCACAGCGGAGGAGAGAGGAGGAGGAAGAGGCAGAGCGGAGGAGAGAAGAGAAGGCACUGCGGAGGAGAGAGGAGGAGGAGGAGGAAGAGGCACAGCGGAGGAGAGAAGAGAAGGCACAGAGGAGGAGAGAGGAGGAGGAACAGCGGAGGAGAGAGGAGAAGGAGGAGGAGGAAGAGGCACAGCGGAGGAGAGAAGAGAAGGCGCAGAGGAGGAGAGAGGAGGAGGCCCAGCGGAGGAGAGAGGAGGAGGAGGAGGAGGCACAGCGGAGGAGAGAGAAGGAGGAACAGCGGAGGAGAGAGGAGGAGGAAGAGGAGGAGGCGGCGGUGGUGAAGGGCCUGAACACGCUGUCUCUGAGCCCUGAGGUGCCGCUCUCCACUCCUCUCAGACUCCCCAACACCUCCACUGAGGGCACCUCCCCCGCGGCGGAUAACCCCGCCUCCCUAAGCGAAGACCCGUUCGAAUCGUGGCUCCGAGCGCCCGGCAGCAUUCCCACUCUGAGCUCCGUGCUAUCAGACAAGGACCUCGAGCCAAUCCGAAACAGCCUGGCCUUCACGCCGUCCUCCCCACAGCCAAUCAGCUCCUCCCCCGGGGGGCCCCGCCCCCGCGCCCCCAAACCUGGCCGUGACAAACUGAAGACGGAGGGGACCAGCGCUCCAUACCGCCGCCCGGCCAGAUAA